GAUGAACGCUGGCGGCGUGCUUAACACAUGCAAGUCGAACGAGAAGUGAAGACGGAAACCUUCGGGCGGAAGGCUUUACUUCGAGUGGCGGACGGGUGAGUAACGCGUGGGUAACCUGCCUCAUACAGGGGGAUAACAGUUGGAAACGACUGUUAAUACCGCAUAAGACCACAGCACCGCAUGGUGCGGGGGUAAAAACUCCGGUGGUAUGAGAUGGACCCGCGUUCGAUUAGCCAGUUGGCGGGGUAACGGCCCACCAAAGCGACGAUCGAUAGCCGAUCUGAGAGGAUGACCGGCCACAUUGGGACUGAGACACGGCCCAAACUCCUACGGGAGGCAGCAGUGGGGAAUAUUGCACAAUGGGGGAAACCCUGAUGCAGCGACGCCGCGUGAGUGAAGAAGUAUUUCGGUAUGUAAAGC
rnacentral:rRNA from 1 species